rnacentral:rRNA from 1 species
UUGAUAGUACCUUACUACUUGGAUAACCGUGGUAAUUCUAGAGCUAAUACAUGCUGGAAACCCCGACUUCGGAAGGGAUGUAUUUAUUAGAUUAAAAACCAAUGCCCUUCGGGGCUCACUGGUGAUUCAUAAUAACUUUACGGAUCGCAUGGCCCUUGCGCCGGCGACGGUUCAUUCAAAUUUCUGCCCUAUCAACUUUCGAUGGUAAGGUAUUGGCUUACCAUGGUUUCAACGGGUAACGGGGAAUUAGGGUUCGAUUCCGGAGAGGGAGCCUGAGAAACGGCUACCACAUCCAAGGAAGGCAGCAGGCGCGCAAAUUACCCAAUCCCGACACGGGGAGGUAGUGACAAUAAAUACUGAUACAGGGCUCUUUUGGGUCUUGUAAUUGGAAUGAGUACAAUUUAAACCUCUUAACGAGGAACAAUUGGAGGGCAAGUCUGGUGCCAGCAGCCGCGGUAAUUCCAGCUCCAAUAGCGUAUAUUAAAGUUGUUGCAGUUAAAAAGCUCGUAGUUGAAACUUGGGUCUGGCUGGCAGGUCCGCCUCACCGCGUGUACUUGUCCGGCCGGGCCUUCCUUCUGGAGAACCUCAUGCCCUUCACUGGGCGUGUUGGGGACCAGGACUUUUACUUUGAAAAAAUUAGAGUGUUCAAAGCAGGCCUUUGCUCGAAUACGUUAGCAUGGAAUAAUAGAAUAGGACGUGCGGUCCUAUUUUGUUGGUUUCUAGGACCGCCGUAAUGAUUAAUAGGGACAGUCGGGGGCAUCAGUAUUCAAUUGUCAGAGGUGAAAUUCUUGGAUUUAUUGAAGACUAACUACUGCGAAAGCAUUUGCCAAGGAUGUUUUCAUUAAUCAGUGAACGAAAGUUAGGGGAUCGAAGACGAUCAGAUACCGUCGUAGUCUUAACCGUAAACUAUGCCGACUAGGGAUCGGGCGAUGUUCUUUUUCUGACUCGCUCGGCACCUUACGAGAAAUCAAA